CAUUAGCUCAGUCGGUAGAGCAUCUGACUUUUAAUCAGAGGGUCGAAGGUUCGAAUCCUUCAUG
rnacentral:tRNA from 1 species